rnacentral:rRNA from 1 species
AUGGGAGGCAGCAGUGGGGAAUAUUGCACAAUGGGCGCAAGCCUGAUGCAGCGACGCCGCGUGAGCGAUGAAGUAUUUCGGUAUGUAAAGCUCUAUCAGCAGGGAAGAAAAUGACGGUACCUGACUAAGAAGCCCCGGCUAACUACGUGCCAGCAGCCGCGGUAAUACGUAGGGGGCAAGCGUUAUCCGGAUUUACUGGGUGUAAAGGGAGCGUAGACGGCGAUGCAAGUCUGAAGUGAAAGCCCGGGGCUCAACCCCGGGACUGCUUUGGAAACUGUGUUGCUAGAGUGCAGGAGAGGUAAGCGGAAUUCCUAGUGUAGCGGUGAAAUGCGUAGAUAUUAGGAGGAACACCGGUGGCGAAGGCGGCUUACUGGACUGUAACUGACGUUGAGGCUCGAAAGCGUGGGGAGCAAACAGGAUUAGAUACCCUGGUA